rnacentral:rRNA from 1 species
UGUGGUUAAAAAGCUCGUAGUUGGAUCUCGGCGGACUGAGGGCGGUUUGCUUGCUAGUAUUACUGCCCUAUAGUCCGUAGUUUUGCCAGAGGUUUCGGGGUGCUCUUAAUCGAGUGUCCCGGGAUGCUGGCAGGUUUACUUUGAAAAAAUUAGAGUGCUCAAAGCAGGCUAUUACGCCUGAAUAUUCGUGCAUGGAAUAAUAGAAUAGGAAGUCGUUUCUAUUUUGUCGGUUUUCGGAAAUCGACUUAAUGAUUAAUAGGGACAGUCGGGGGCAUUUGUAUCAAACGACAGAGGUGAAAUUCUUGGACCGUUUGAAGACAAACUACUGCGAAAGCAUUUGCCAAGAAUGUUUUCAUUAAUCAAGAACGAAAGUUAAAGGUUCGAAGGCGAUUAGAUACCGCCCUAGUUUUAACCAUAAACGAUGCCAGCUAGCGAUCUGCGGACGUUUUUUUUGUAGACUCCGCAGGAAGCUUCCGGGAAACCAAAGCAUUUGGGUUCCAGGGGAAGUAUGGUUGCAAAGCUGAAACUUAAAGGAAUUGACGGAAGGGCACCACCAGGAGUGGAGCCUGUGGCUAAAUUUGACUCAACACGGGAA